AGCCCCAGAAACAGGCGACAAUUUCACCCUCGGCGCUGCCGCGAUCCUGGGCAUUGUACUGGGUUCUCUUGCCGGAGGACUGAUCGGCGGAGUCUGCGCAUGGUUAUUCGCAAGGAAAAUUGGCGGGGCGCAAGGCACAAUGCACAAGAUGGAAACUCCACUUACACGGGACUGGUUCUGGGGGAUCGAUCUGUUUACAGUGAUCUGAAGAGAUGACGUCACUGUUGAAUAGAAGAGGACGGUUGGCCGGGAAUUCACACAUGAGAAGGACAACCAUCGUGGAAGAAGCCACCGUGCCACAAGUCUCUUACUUUUUAUAUACGACCGUUAUC